UAGAGUUUGCAUGUAUCUUUAUAACUGGUAUGAAACACUUUGAGGGUUUUUCUGUCUAGUGUUUAAAAAGUUUGCAGACAAGAUGUUUUUUAAAGAUGAUUUCUGAGAAUUUGUCAUCUAAGCCUAUCAUAAAUGCAGCAGCAAACAGACACGUUAGGAACUACGAAGGAGUACUAGCCACGGGAAGCUUCACUAGCUUCAUUAUCUCAAGAAGUUCAAACAUUUUAUCAGAAGUGAGGUCUGAUGCCUCAAAGACCUCUUACACCGUCCUUAAGAUACGUUUUGGACAAACACUCAAAACCAGCUCAUUAACACCAUUGAGAAUUUUCUAUGUGACGUAUUAAAUUGAUGCUAUUCAGUUUGUUCUGAAUAACAGCUUGUGGAGGGAUCCAAGCAUUUUAAAGGUCAGGAAGCUCUUUUUCCUCCCUUGCUCCCCUGGCAAUACCGUGAAUAUUCCCUCCCAUGUUCCCUGCACUGGGCUAAUUCAGUGCUGUAAUAGGGAAUACAAAGUUCUGUCGCUUUAGAUCCAGCCAUUUGAAUGCAUGACCAGGCGGGCAGCAGCCGAAUAAAGAAUAACAUGGAUUUGACUCCGAAUGAUUCACUCAGCUGGCAUCUUAUUACAGUCCUAACUCAAAUGAAUGGCAAAAUGCAGAAUGACUAGGGAAAGUAAAGCAGAUAGCAUAUGUCAACUGAGUGACAUCCAGAAUACUGGAGAGGCCGUGGGGCUGCUCACUCGCAUCACUCCAGUGGUCUGAAACAUCCAAAGAAGUGAAUCUGGACAUUCAGACUGCAUUGGUUUUGCAUUGCUUUGUCUGCUACUGUAGUUCUGUUUUAUGUUGAUGACUUGCUAAUUUUCUAAUUGACCCGACCCAUAAUGAUUUAAAGCUAUCUCUGUUCUUCCUUGGUCCUGAACUAAGAGUAAUUUAUCCAAAGAGAUUUAAGCACAUACUGUUUGCAUGUCAUGAUGAUUGAAGGAUGGCCAUUUCAUGGCAAUAAUGUCUUGCAUCUUACAGCAGAACCACUGCUUGCACAUGUGGCAACAGGUAACAUAUGGCAGAUAUUUUGGCGUGACCCUGAUUCCAUUAUUUUGAUUUAAAUCUUCUUUAAGAACAGAUGAUGCAGUCCAGAAGCUUACACUGGGAGGUAAACCCAGGAGUUAUUCUGCCAGCUGAGUGAAGUUUUACCACUCUGGGAAUAAGCUGUGGGAUGGCCACUCAUUUCACUUAAGACUUCACUAAAAGCACAGUGAAUUCUAAUGGUGGCUUUCCACUGACUUCAGUGGCUGGUGGAUGAGACUUGUCAAGUGAAAAAAUAGGACUUGAUUUGAUGGGUGGAGUCAAGUGGUGACGAUAUUAAUGAAUGUGAUGUGAGAACCUCAGCAAAAGGGACUUAAGUGUUCUUUGAUCACCAUCUUUUUCUGCUGGUGAAGCUGGUGGAAUCUGUUCAGCUGUUGUUCUUUGCAACAGUGGUUUUUAAAAAUACGAUAUAGAAAAAAAGGGAAAAUGGAACAGUGUACUUGGGGAUAACUGCUGGCAGCUACAGUCAGCAUCCCCUCCUGAUCCUGAUCCUUUGUUUUCAGAACAUAGGCAUUUAUUCAGCAAAAUAACCUAUGUCAGGGACAAAACAGGCGUCUUCACAGAUAUUGUUCUGAGGGUUUGAGCCUGAAUUUCAUGGAAGGGAGCAGCCAUUCAGGAUAAAUCAAUCAGAGCAUUACCGUACUUUUGGACUAAGAUAGCUGGAGAAAUAGAAGUUGUUACUGGAAACACGGACCAUGUGGAACGUCAAUCAAAAACUAAAGCAGAUGAGUUAAAUGCAAGAUUUGAUUCUGUGUAGACACAAAGAAAACUAAACCAAACCAAGCAACCCUUGGACUUCUGUGGAAAAGAACUAUCCUAUAUUAGAUGCCUGUUAUAUACUUUGUAUCAGGUUGUUUUGGAAGAAGAACAAUGAGGUUUGUGUUCAAGAAGAACUUUGUGUCAUUUUACCAGUUUCCCUUCUUAUCAGGAACAUUUAAGACCCUGAAUAAUGUCCAAUCACUUUGCUCAAAGGAACUAACACAUAGAAGGCAAACCCAAACCCUCAGCUGGAAUGGAUAAUCCUGCAUUUUUUAUCUCAGUAGUUUUUUCUGGGACAUAAAUCACAUUUUGUCUUGGAGAAUCAAGUAUUUAAACAUUUUUAGGCUAAAUGAUGCAUUCUUCUCAUAGUUACAAAUAACAUUAGUAAAAUCAUAUUGAUAUAUAUUCUGGCUGGUUUAAUGCAUAACAGGGAAGCUUUUAAUAUGGUGUAUUCCAGAACACUGUUUCCUUUACAGUCUCCUGUUGUAAAAUUCUGUUUAGUGCAGGGAUUGAAAACAAAUUCACAGGAGUCUCUUAACUUUUCAGUCUUAUUCAACAUCUUCUCCCUACGGUUUUGUGUGCUGUAAAGCAUCCAUAUUGCUUGACAGAAGAUGCAUCUUGUGUUUUAUGUUCUGAGAGCAUGUUUGGAAUACCCGUUUCAGCUGUUGUAAUAACCUACAAUCCAUAAUAUCUCUUACCAAUAGGAAGGUGGUUUUAGUGACUGUUCCCCCUGUAUCCGUGCACAGAAUGUAGUAACAAAGACAGACAUUUCCAAAGAAAUCUCUUAAGACCACGGGAUGGUAGAUUUAUUUGGAUUUUUUAAAAACAAAGGAGAUCUCUUAUUUCCUUAGAUUAAUUCACACUGAGAUAAUUGUUUUAUUUGAUGUUGGCCAGGGGCUUUCUCUUACCGGUGGAGCUCUGUAUGAAUCAUAGAGGAAUGAAGCAAUUCUCUGUUUAUAGUCACUGAAAAGAACGGUACAGUUCCCUUAGUAGAGAGAAGGAGUUUAAAGCUCCUCAGAACCAUCAAGAGUAAUGAAAAUGUGCUGCAUUUUAAGUUGAAGAGGAAGGGAUAUCAAAGUAUUCACACCGGAUUUCGCAAGGCAAACACGACUGCUCAGUUAUUGUAUUCCUUCAUUUGCCUUGUACAGAAAUUGUGCUCAGAUAAUUCAGUGAUGGGUACAAUAGAAAUUAAAUAACUGGAUCACCUUAGUGUGGAUCAAGAAAUAACACAAUUUAAGAAAAUGUAAAUAGUUUGUGAAAUCUUUCCAUCACAGCGAUGAUAGUCAUCGACAAAGAUGGACAGACCAAAAUAAUCCCUUUAACAAAGCUUCAUUUCUGUAUUUGCUGUUAGAGCCGUACUAUCCAUUUGAAUAGUACGGCUAACUGAAUACGUGGUAUAAUGAAAAAAAUACCGUUCACUUUCUUUUCAACUCUGAGGAAUUAAGAAAAAACAAGGCAGGAAACAAUUACAGAGACGGAUAGUGAAUCACAAUCAGCAAAGUGAGAGGAGAUGAGCACACGAGUACUGACAUUGCUUUAAGGUGUCACUCAAGACAUAAGCAGACUGGCUACACUGUCCCGACUCCAUCAUUUCAACUCUUUAGGGCUUAUUUCCCUCUUUUUAAAGCUGAGGUGAAUCAUGUUUACCCCGUAUAAAUAAUAACUAAUAGUGCACACUUACGGAUCACUCGUAGUACUGUGCAAGCGCUAAGUACCCUUUGGCUUUUUUUCUAGGAUAGUGCAAUGCCACCCCUGAAUUCCAGCAGGUUCUAGACAUUAUUUGCAUCUUUUUCUUUAAAAUAAUUAAUUGCAAAAGUUAAAAGUGAUUGCACAUGUUAAAUCUCCUGUUGAAAGUACUGUGGGCAGUAAUUGGACUGUUACGUAUCCGGGGAUGCGCACAGUGCUUUGUGUGCUUAUUCAUUCUCUGUGACUCCAAUGCACUGGGAAAGAGUAAUCCCACUUGGCAUUUUGACUCAAUUUGGUCUCAGUAAUUACGGACCCAGAGUAACUUGUUAGAAGCUUAGGAAAAAAUGUCUCUGAACUUCGCAACAGAGUUGAAGUGUCCAGAAGAAUGAGAAUUUAACCAGUGCCAGCUAUUAUUCUGGUUAUAUCCAGUUGUUAUCCACUGUUACAAUACAGUGCACAACAUCACUGGGAGCAUCUGCCUGGGAAUGUUAUCUUCCAGACUGAUUACAUCUGACAGUGCACUGUAUUUCUGAUGGAAGUUAGCUUCUACAGUUUACCAAGCUAUUUUACCUCUUUUGUGACUCGUGUUUGUGGCUCUGAGCAGCUCUCCGUUGUUUCAAAUGUUGGGGUCACAAGAUGAAGUGGCAGCUCUUCGGAGGAGCCAGAAGAGCGCUUCCAGCCUGAAGCUGAACUCACUAGGUUUGAGCUGUGGUGACCUACUAUUAACAAGAGAUGGUUUAACAUGUGCCGUUAUGAAACCUGCAUUGCUAUGGAAACCUACCAAAGAAAUGAGUCACUGGGCUGGGAAGAGGCAAACCAUGAAAGAACUGGAGCACUCAUACAAAUCAUUCCACUUCCUGGGAAUAUACCAGAACAAAUACCCUUCACGAUAUAGAAAUAUUUUCCUAUAAAGAAGACAAAGUAGAGACUGACAGGUAAAACUUUUGUGCUCCAAACCCACAUGAUCUUUUCUAUUGACUGAGGCAACUUGCUGGAAAACACUGAAGAGAGUUAUAAAAACUAGAUCCUUUUUACAUGUAUCCUCUGGAGUAUGUGGCUUUAAUGUUCUCUGUACAGAAAUUAUAAAUUAAGAAGUUAUAAAUGCAUUUUGCAAUACAAUUUUAAAACUCGUUCUUUUGCUUUUAAUGCGGGGACGAUAUUACUAACAGAAAGCAGCUAAUGUACAAACACAAACAGCAGACAUAAAAGAAA